rnacentral:tmRNA from 1 species
GGGGGUGACUGGUUUCGACAGGGUACGUUUGAGAUGGCAAGCAAGCCGUGGUCUCCUCGCCACGUUAAACAGGGGUACCGUCAAAUGAAUUGACGAGAAUAACUCUUACGAGCCUCAACUGGCUCUCGCUGCCUAAUUUAGAGCGCAGCCGCUGAAGCGGGGAUUUCUCCUGUCCCUGUGGACGCGUCAUUUUAGGGAGAUGCUCGCACGGAUGUAGCUGGUAUGCUGUGCGCUAAGACUAAACCCGCUAGGACGUUGAGCGCGAGCUACGGGGUGUGAUACGUCCGAAAUCUAACCCGUAACUGAGCUUGGAGAAAACCAUCAGGGAUGUGCUUUGGACCGGAGUUCGAUUCUCCGCACCUCCACCU